rnacentral:rRNA from 1 species
AGUGAACGCUGGCGGUAGGCCUAACACAUGCAAGUCGAACGGCAGCACAGUAAGAGCUUGCUCUUACGGGUGGCGAGUGGCGGACGGGUGAGGAAUACAUCGGAAUCUACUUUUUCGUGGGGGAUAACGUAGGGAAACUUACGCUAAUACCGCAUACGACCUACGGGUGAAAGCAGGGGAUCUUCGGACCUUGCGCGAUUGAACGAGCCGAUGUCGGAUUAGCUAGUUGGCGGGGUAAAGGCCCACCAAGGCGACGAUCCGUAGCCGGUCUGAGAGGAUGAUCAGCCACACUGGAACUGAGACACGGUCCAGACUCCUACGGGAGGCAGCAGUGGGGAAUAUUGGACAAUGGGCGCAAGCCUGAUCCAGCCAUACCGCGUGGGUGAAGAAGGCCUUCGGGUUGUAAAGCCCUUUUGUUGGGAAAGAAAAGCAGCAGGUUAAUACCCCGCUGUUCUGACGGUACCCAAAGAAUAAGCACCGGCUAACUUCGUG